rnacentral:rRNA from 1 species
GUGCCUAAUACAUGCAAGUCGAGCGGRCAGAUGGGAGCUUGCUCCCUGAUGUUAGCGGCGGACGGGUGAGUAACACGUGGGUAACCUGCCUGUAAGACUGGGAUAACUCCGGGAAACCGGGGCUAAUACCGGAUGGUUGUUUGAACCGCAUGGUUCAAACAUAAAAGGUGGCUUCGGCUACCACUUACAGAUGGACCCGCGGCGCAUUAGCUAGUUGGUGAGGUAAYGGCUCACCAAGGCAACGAUGCGUAGCCGACCUGAGAGGGUGAUCGGCCACACUGGGACUGAGACACGGCCCAGACUCCUACGGGAGGCAGCAGUAGGGAAUCUUCCGCAAUGGACGAAAGUCUGACGGAGCAACGCCGCGUGAGUGAUGAAGGUUUUCGGAUCGUAAAGCUCUGUUGUUAGGGAAGAACAAGUACCGUUCGAAUAGGGCGGUACCUUGACGGUACCUAACCAGAAAGCCACGGCUAACUACGUGCCAGCAGCCGCGGUAAUACGUAGGUGGCAAGCGUUGUCCGGAAUUAUUGGGCGUAAAGGGCUCGCAGGCGGUUUCUUAAGUCUGAUGUGAAAGCCCCCGGCUCAACCGGGGAGGGUCAUUGGAAACUGGGGAACUUGAGUGCAGAAGAGGAGAGUGGAAUUCCACGUGUAGCGGUGAAAUGCGUAGAGAUGUGGAGGAACACCAGUGGCGAAGGCGACUCUCUGGUCUGUAACUGACGCUGAGGAGCGAAAGCGUGGGGAGCGAACAGGAUUAGAUACCCUGGUAGUCCACGCCGUAAACGAUGAGUGCUAAGUGUUAGGGGGUUUCCGCCCCUUAGUGCUGCAGCUAACGCAUUAAGCACUCCGCCUGGGGAGUACGGUCGCAAGACUGAAACUCAAAGGAAUUGACGGGGGCCCGCACAAGCGGUGGAGCAUGUGGUUUAAUUUCGAAGCAACGCGAAGAACCUUACCAGGUCUUGACAUCCUCUGACAAUCCUAGAGAUAGGACGUCC